AUACGGAGGUUGCAAGCGUUGUUCGGAAUUACUGGGCGUAAAGGGAGCGCAGGCGGCUUGGCAAGUCUGAAGUGAAAGCCCGGAGCUCAACUCCGGAAGGGCUUUGGAUACUACCAAGCUUGAGUACGUGAGAGGAGAGCGGAAUUCCAGGUGUAGCGGUGAAAUGCGUAGAUAUCUGGAGGAACACCGGUGGCGCAAGCGGCUCUCUGGCGCGAUACUGACGCUGAGGCUCGAAAGCGUGGGGAGCAAACGGGAUUAGAUACCCCGGUAGUCCACGCUGUAAACGUUGUGCACUAGGUAUGGGAGGUAAUCGACCCCUUCCGUGCCGCAGCUAACGCACUAAGUGCACCGCCUGGGGAGUACGGUCGCAAGGCUGAA
rnacentral:rRNA from 1 species